UACAUGCAGUCGAACGAACUCUUCGGAGUUAGUGGCGCACGGGUGAGUAACGCGUGGGAAUAUGCCCUUUGGUGCGGAACAACAGUUGGAAACGACUGCUAAUACCGCAUAAUAUCUACGGAUCAAAGAUUUAUCGCCAAAGGAUUAGCCCGCGUCUGAUUAGGUAGUUGGUAGGGUAAAGGCCUACCAAGCCGACGAUCAGUAGAUGGUUUGAGAGGAUGAUCAUCCACACUGGUACUGAGACACGGACCAGACUCCUACGGGAGGCAGCAGUGAGGAAUAUUAGACAAUGGGCGCAAGCCUGAUCUAGCCAUGCCGCGUGAGUGAAGAAGGCCUUCGGGUUGUAAAGCUCUUUCAGAUGUGAGGAUAAUGACAGUAGCAUCAGAAGAAGCCCCGGCUAAAUUCGUGCCAGCAGCCGCGGUAAUACGAAUGGGGCAAGCGUUGUUCGGAAUCACUGGGCGUAAAGCGUACGUAGGCGGCUUUUCAAGUCAGGAGUGAAAUCCCAGGGCUCAACCCUGGAACUGCUCUUGAAACUGGAUCGCUAGAGUCCCGGAGAGGUUGGCGGAAUUCCGAGUGUAGAGGUGAAAUUCGCAGAUAUUCGGAGGAACACCAGUGGCGAAGGCGGCCAACUGGACGGGAACUGACGCUCAGGUACGAAAGCGUGGGGAGCAAACAGGAUUAGAUACCCUGGUAGUCCACGCCGUAAACGAUGUGUGCUAGUUGUUGGGCAUCAUAGAUGUUCAGUGACACAGCUAACGCGUUAAGCACACCGCCUGGGGAGUACGGUCGCAAGAUUAAAACUCAAAGGAAUUGACGGGGACUCGCACAAGCGGUGGAGCAUGUUGUUUAAUUCGAAGCAACGCGAGAACCUUACCUACUCUUGACAUACUUGUCGCACUUACAGAGAUGGUUGUUUCAGUUCGGCUGGACAUGUACAGGUGCUGCAUGAUGUCGUCAGCUCGUGUCGUGAGAUGUGGUAGUCCCGCACCGAGCGCAUCCUUUCGUACUGCAGCAUUUCGAUGGACCUUAGAUACUGCAGUGACAACUGAGGAGCGGGACGACGUCAGUCAUCAUGCUACGGCAGCUACCACUGCUCAUGGUCGGUGCAAGGGGGUACCCAACGAAAGAGAGCUAUUCUC
rnacentral:rRNA from 1 species